rnacentral:tRNA from 1 species
GCCGAAGUGGUGGAACUGGUAGACACGCUGUGUUGAGGGCGCAGUGAGCCAUGCUCGUGCGAGUUCGAUUCUCGCCUUCGGCACCA